rnacentral:rRNA from 1 species
GUUGAUCAUGGCUCAGGUACGCCGGCGGCGKGCCUAACMMCAUGCAAGUCGAACGGUYUAAGCSSGAGCUUAGGAUAGUGGCGAACGGGKGAGUAAAAGGUAGGAAUCUACCCCUUGGACGGAGAUAGCUACUGGAAACGGUAGGUAAACUUCGAUAAGCCCGAGAGGGGAAAGUGGUGAGACAGCCGAGGGAUGAGCCUACUCUCCAUCAGGUAGUUGGUGAGAUAAAAGCUUACCAAGCCGAUGACGGAUAACCGGUGUGAGAGCAUGAACGGUCACAAGGGCACUGAGAGACGGGCCCUACUCCUACGGGAGGCAGCAGUGGGGAAUCUUGGACAAUGGGCGAAAGCCUGAUCCAGCGACGCCGCGUGGAGGAAGAAGUCCUUCGGGAUGUAAACUUCUGAACUAGCCGAAUAAAAGRCMWGWRGACACACAGGAGAAGAAAGUAGGCUAGGAAAAGUCCCGGCUAACUACGUGCCAGCAGCCGCGGUAAGACGUAGGGGGCAAGCGUUACCCGGAAUUACUGGGCGUAAAGGGGGCGUAGGCGGUAAAAGAAGUCAUCUGUGAAAACCUAUUGCUCAACGAUAGGCUAGCGGAUGAAACUGAAUUACUUGAGGGCACCAGAGGUAGACGGAAUUACCCGAGUAGGGGUGAAAUCCGCAGAUACGGGUAGGAACGCCGGUGGAGAAGUCGGUCUACUGGGGUGCACCAGACGCUGAGGCCCGAAAGCUAGGGGAGCAAACCGGAUUAGAUACCCGGGUAGUCCUAGCCGUAAACGCCUCUCACUAGGUGUAGGGAGUGAUAAACUCUCUGUGMUGAAGCGAACGCGCUWAAKKAGCCGCC